GAUAUACUUCAAUAGGGAGCAUAUAUGACACAGUACCAAAUUCACUGCUGUGUAUAAAUGACUCCAGUUGUAACAAAAAAUUUAAACCUGCAUAUUUGCUUGCUGAUGGAAGAUUAGAAAGAGCAGGAAGGGUAAAAAAGUUGUCUCUUUCGAUUCCGGGGCAUUUUCCUGUUUUCGGUGAUAGCCCAGAUAGUGUGGACCCACAUAAAAAUGGCAUGCUUGUAGCCUCAGUGAUUGCUGUGGGGGAUGAGAUUCUGUAAGUUCCUUUUUUAAUUGGUUCUCUUUCAUAUUUUCUAUUCUUCUGAGUUAGCUUUUGCAUUCUUCUGAAGUUAUUGGGUUUGAAGAUAAGUAAUUUAUGCAAUUGGUGAGGUGGAUGUAUAAUUUUGUUCAAUUGUUGAAAUAUCUUGUUCUCUAGUACGGCCCUUCUUUUUCAUGUCUUUUUUUAUAUGCGGUUUUUUCAUUAUUUUGUUAAUUUUUGGCUGAUUAUAUGAUUAUAUAGAGUCAAAUUUGCAUUAGCUCCAAUGCUCAAUAACUAUUCCAAAAUUAUUUGAUGUUUUUUUUUUCCCCUGAGAGUGUAGCAUUUCAAAUGAGUUUUGUGAGUUACAAAUGUUUGAUGUUAACUUAUAGAUGGGGACAAAAGAAAGGGUUCUCAUUGUCUUAAUAUGAAAUGUUUGAUAUCACAAUUCACAACCUUUCAAUUGGGAAAAUCUGAAAACCCUGAGAAUUUAGAUUAUGUAAAUUAUUUAAAUUUUCCCAAACGCUCCAGUUUAGCUUUAUUAAUUAUUAUGCUUUUAUUUUUUUUAAUUUUUUUUAAAUUUCUGCUACUUGCUGUUAUUGGUUAAGUUUUUAUGUCUUAUCUGUUCCAUAGCUCAGGUUCGGCACUGUUGAGGAUCAGUUGGGUACUUCAUUGUGUAGAAAGCUCCAUUCAAUUGGUUGGUCAGUAUCACAAAUUGCUAUUGUCCAGAAUGAUAUAGAUUCCAUGGCUGAAGAGGUUGAGCGACAUAAAUCUACCAAUGAUAUGGUAUUUAUAUAUGGUGGAGUAGGUCCAUUGCAAUCUGAUGUUACCUUAGCAGGUGUUGCAAAGGCAUUUGGGGUUCGCCUGGCUCCUGAUGAAGAAUUUGAAGAAUAUCUUAGGCAUCUUAUUGGCAAUCAGUGCACUGGUGAUCGUAAUGAGAUGGCUUUGUUACCCGAAGGAAUCACUGAAUUAUUGCAUCAUGAAAAGCUGCCAGUUCCCAUGGUAUGUGUUUGGAGCUAAGUUAUAAUAUUUAUGAUGGUUCUUUUUUCUCUUAAGCAAUGGACUGACUGUAAUUUAUGAGGUUCUAGUUUGAAUUACUGUCAAGUGAUGCUCUUUGUAGAUUAAGUGCCAGAAUGUAAUCAUUCUUGUGGCAACCAAUGUUGCUGAGCUGGACAAGGAAUGGAAGUGUUUGACAGAAUUAACAAAAUCUUACGGCCUGUUUCCAAUGAUGGAACCAUUUGUAUCAAAACGCUUAACAACCAAUCUUUUAGAU
rnacentral:misc_RNA from 1 species